GCUGUUGUUGUUGUUCUCCUUUCCCUCGUCGCAAUAAGCGCUCAAGGUUAUCGUUAGCGUUCUUUCCGAGGAGGUGGAGACGUCGUUGUCGUCCCACGGCACAACAAAUACUAAUGAAUGCUGCAAAAUUCCACACACAUACGAGCGACUGC